CUGAUCUGGAUUGUGGAUAUUUGAUUUUAACAUUGAAAAGCCCUUUUGAUCUAUAUUUUGAAUUAUAUUUUAGGUUAUGAAAAGUCAAUCCUAACAGGACUUUGACCUUCAAAAUGUUUUCCAAGGUACAAAUUUGUGGAAUUAAAAACUA